AUUUAAAGUGGUACGCGAGCUGGGUUUAGAACGUCGUGAGACAGUUCGGUCCCUAUCUGCCGUGGGCGCUGGAGAACUGAGGGGGGCUGCUCCUAGUACGAGAGGACCGGAGUGGACGCAUCACUGGUGUUCGGGUUGUCAUGCCAAUGGCACUGCCCGGUAGCUAAAUGCGGAAGAGAUAAGUGCUGAAAGCAUCUAAGCACGAAACUUGCCCCGAGAUGAGUUCUCCCUGAGACUUAAAGUCUCCUGAAGGAACGUUGAAGACGACGACGUUGAUAGGCCGGGUGUGUAAGCGCAGCGAUGCGUUGAGCUAACCGGUACUAAUGAACCGUGAGGCUUAACCUUACAACGCCGAAG
rnacentral:rRNA from 1 species